rnacentral:lncRNA from 1 species
UACCCUCACAGGGAUUCUUGGGUCGUUCUGGUUUUUGUAAGAAUCAGACCAGAAAGUGAUGUGUAAACCAAAAGGCGGACAGAGGAACCAAAGGGGAUUAUUUUGUGUACGAUAACCACAAAAGGCACUGCCAGACGAAGGCAAACAGGAAAGAAAUGAGAUGACAGAUGUUAAUGAUUAUGAAGUCAAGCAUGUGGCAGUCCAUAAAAAGGCUGUGCCAGGGUUUCUGCCCUGACGUGAGUCACAGGAGGAACUACUGCAGUUCAAUGUAGAAAUCAAAACAUUGAUUUAAACUUUGAAACCGGAGGCACAAAGCUGCACACCUACAUCCACGUUCCACGUGCUUUAAGAAAGGAAACCUGGCAAAAUAAAAGCAUCAUGCACUUUAAACUUUAGUCACCCAAUGCUGCUGUUCAGGCGCUGGAAAGUCACUUCACAGAGCUACACUGGAUCACUGAAUAUUCCGCAGCCGAGCAAAUCUCCUGCCUCUUCUGUUCACCAGGAAAAAUACCAAGUAUACCUUACGUAAGUAAUUAAGUGGAUCGCUGGUAAAUAAAGAUGCUGAAGCCAUGACCGUCAGACUUCAAUAUAACUUCGCUGCAACAGAGAAUGACAACCUGCCUUCGGAGGCUUUCACACAUCGUUACAUAAGGCAUAAGAAACGCGAGGAUAUGUAAAGCCACAUACAUUAUAAGCUACCCAACCAUUUUCCGUCAAACAGAAUUAUCUCUGUACGCCCAUCUAAAAAAAAAAUACCUUGAGAUUUAUUCCUGGUGCACCAAAGCAUCCCUGGGCUUUGCUUCCAGCAACGCAGCAGGAUUGGGGUUAAAUCAGAGAGGUUUUAACACCAGAUGAAUAUCGCACAAUUUACAGUACAAGCAAAUUAGGCUGCAAACAGAAAAGCCAGCUGGGGGUACAUAAAACAAAACGUUUUGCGGAGCACUGAGGAACCGGUCAGUGCGUGUGACGUGGGAGCGAGCAGGGCAGCGGGCGGGCGAGGAGCACAGCACACUUGCCUCUUCCAGCAACAGCCA